AAAUGUGGCCUCUAAGGAUGCUCAGACAGGUGGAUAUGUAUAGUAGGACCCUAGCUUUACCAUCCUGGCAUAUCAUUCCCAUCAUAGCUAUUUCAUUUUUUUCCAAUUAGUUGCUGAAAUGUCUACAUGUUCUUAUCGAGUUGAAAGAUCAGUGUCUCCCUGUCUCAUUAAAUUUCCAGAACUUCAGAGGCUAAAUCAAUCCAGCUACUUUAUGAUGCCAUUUCUAUAAAACUGAAAAACAGAAAAAAAAUAAUACAUGGUAACAGAGGUCAGGAGAGGAGUGACCUUUGCUGGAGGGAGUGAUGAAGUGACCUGGAGGGCCCCACGGGGUGCUGAGGUGCUGGAAAUUUCCCAUUUCUGAUCUGGGUGCUGGUUGCACAGGGAUGUUCAUUUUAGGAAAAUUCUUCAAGCUGUACAUGUAUAAUAUGCACUUUUUUUAAUUUUUAUUUUUUGAAAUAGGGUCUUGCUCUGUCACGCAUGCUGGAAGGCAGUGGUGUGAUCAUGGCUCACUGCAGCCUCGACCUCCUGGGCUCAAGCGAUCCUCCUGCCUUAGCCUCCCAAGUAGCUGGGACCACAGGUGCAUGCUACCACGCCCGGCUAAUUUUUUUACUUUUUGCAGAGACAAGGUCUCAUUAUGUUGCCCAGGCUGGUCUCAAACUCCUAGGCUUAAGCGAUCCUCCCACUUUGGCCUCCCAAAUUGCUGGGAUUACAGUAAUGUGUGCAUUUUUAUCUAUGUAUAUUAUGCUUCAAUUAAAAGUUCACUUAAAAAAUAAGUCACUCUCAUCAAUACAGCCCCUGGCAGGACAGGAUAAACCAGGAACUAGACCUUUACAGGAACACCUAUUUUCCCCCAAGA
rnacentral:lncRNA from 1 species